CCCCUUCCGCAUUAACUUCCACAUUUCGCGUCAACUACGCCAUCGUCGUCUCCCUCUGCAGUGAGUUAUCUCUCACCGGUUCCCCAUUUGCACUGAUACUUUUUGCUUUCAUUUUCGCCCUGGUUGCUCCUCUACUUUUUCAGAGAAGACCCGCUGGUCUCAUGGGUCUGAUUGAUCGUAUGGUUUUGGUAGGUCUGGUUUUGGUCUCAAUUAUAGCGAUUUGAGUUGCUUCUAGAGGAUCGUGUUCCUUUCAAAGUCCUUGAUUCAACUCAGCAACUGUAAAUUUUCUCUAUAAUGUUUGAGUUUUGAUGCUUUAGCUAUUUCCUAAAUCUGUUCUUACAUAUUGUUUUGUUUUGGUAUCAAAUUAUAUGAAAUCCAGAACCUUGUGGGCUGUCAUUGUUAGAUUUAGACCACACACCCUCCAGUACCCUCC
rnacentral:lncRNA from 1 species